rnacentral:rRNA from 1 species
AUUGAACGCUGGCGGCAGGCCUAACACAUGCAAGUCGAACGGUAACAGGAAGAAUCUUGCUUCUUUGCUGACGAGUGGCGGACGGGUGAGUAAUGUCUGGGAAACUGCCUGAUGGAGGGGGAUAACUACUGGAAACGGUAGCUAAUACCGCAUAACGUCGCAAGCCCAAAAAGGGGGACCUUCGGGCCUCUUGCCAUCGGAUGUGCCCAGAUGGGAUUAGCUAGUAGGUGGGGUAACGGCUCACCUAGGCGACGAUCCCUAGCUGGUCUGAGAGGAUGACCAGCCACACUGGAACUGAGACACGGUCCAGACUCCUACGGGAGGCAGCAGUGGGGAAUAUUGCACAAUGGGCGCAAGCCUGAUGCAGCCAUGCCGCGUGUAUGAAGAAGGCCUUCGGGUUGUAAAGUACUUUCAGCGGGGAGGAAGGGAGUAAAGUUAAUACCUUUGCUCAUUGACGUUACCCGCAGAAGAAGCACCGGCUAACUCCGUG